rnacentral:tRNA from 1 species
UGGCUCAGUUGGUAGAGCAUGGUGUUUGCAACGCCAGCAUGGUGUUUGCAACGCCAGGGUUGUGGGUUCAAUUCCCAC